AGAGUUUGAUCCUGGCUCAGGACGAACGCUGGCGGCGCGCCUAACACAUGCAAGUCGAACGGAGAUUACAGGCGGAAGUUUUCGGAUGGAAGCUUGUAAACUUAGUGGCGGACGGGUGAGUAACACGUGAGCAACCUGCCUAUCAGAGGGGGAUAACGAUUGGAAACGAUCGCUAAUACCGCAUGACAUAGCGGAACCGCAUGGUUUUGUUAUCAAAGAUUUUAUCGCUGAUAGAUGGGCUCGCGUCCGAUUAGAUAGUUGGUGGGGUAACGGCCUACCAAGUCGACGAUCGGUAGCCGGACUGAGAGGUCGAACGGCCACAUUGGGACUGAGACACGGCCCAGACUCCUACGGGAGGCAGCAGUGGGGGAUAUUGCACAAUGGGGGAAACCCUGAUGCAGCGACGCCGCGUGAGGGAAGACGGUCCUCUGGAUUGUAAACCUCUGUCUUCGGGGACGAAACGAGACGGUACCCGAGGAGGAAGCCACGGCUAACUACGUGCCAGCAGCCGCGGUAAUACGUAGGUGGCAAGCGUUGUCCGGAAUUACUGGGUGUAAAGGGAGCGUAGGCGGGCAGGCAAGUCAGGCGUGAAAUAUAUCGGCUCAACCGGUAACGGCGCUUGAAACUGCAGGUCUUGAGUGAAGUAGAGGUUGGCGGAAUUCCUAGUGUAGCGGUGAAAUGCGUAGAUAUUAGGAGGAACACCAGUGGCGAAGGCGGCCAACUGGGCUUUUACUGACGCUGAGGCUCGAAAGUGUGGGGAGCAAACAGGAUUAGAUACCCUGGUAGUCCACACCGUAAACGAUGAUUACUAGGUGU
rnacentral:rRNA from 1 species